AUUGAACGCUGGCGGCAGGCCUAACACAUGCAAGUCGAGCGGGGCGGCGGACGGGUGAGGAUGGCCUAGGAAUCUGCAUGGUAGCGGGGGAUGAGGUUAGGAAACGGGCGCUAAUACCGCUUACUCUCAGAUGUGCCUAGGUCGGAUUAGCUAGUUGGUGGGGUAAAGGCCUACCAAGGCGACGAUCCGGAACUGGUCUGAGAGGAUGAUCAGUCACACUGGAACUGAGACACGGUCCAGACUCCUACGGGAGGCAGCAGUGGGGAAUAUUGGACAAUGGGCGAAAGCCUGAUCCAGCCAUGCCGCGUGUGUGAAGAAGGCCUUCGGAUUGUAAAGCACUUUAAGUUGGGAGGCGUUACCUGCAGAAUAAGCACCGGCUAACUACGUGCCAGCAGCCGCGGUAAUAC
rnacentral:rRNA from 1 species